CGGGGAUUUCUUCGGACCCCAAAUCAAAUUUGAAAAUCAAAUCCAAAUCAAAAUUAAAAUAGGGAUUUCAUCGGACCCCAAAUUGGAAUCAAAACGGGGAUUUCUUCGGACCCCAAAUCAAGAUCAAAACGGGGAUUUCUUCGGACCCCAAAUUAAAUCGAAUCAAACGGGGAUUUAUUCGGACCCCAAAUCGAAUUGGAAAAUCAAAUCCAAAUCGAAAUCAAACGGGGAUUUCUUCGAACCCCAAAUCAAAUCAAAUUGGAAAAUCAAAUCCAAAUCGAAAUAAAACAGGGAUUUCUUCAGACCCCAAAUCGAAUUGGAAAAUCAAAUCCAAAUCGAAAUCAAACGGAAAUUUCUUUGGAUCCCAAAUCAAACCAAAAUCAAAAGGGGAUUUCUUCGGAUCCGAAUCAAAUUGCAAAAUCAAAAGAGGAUUGCCUCGAACCCGAAAUAGAAUUGAAAAGAAAAUCAAGUUCACAUACGAAUCCAAAUCCGAGUCAAGUUCACCUACAAACCUAAAUCAAAUCAAACCCAAACCUAACCCAAACCAAGUCCACAUAAGAACCCAAACUAAAUCCACAAAUAAACCCAAACCCAAUCCAAAUCAAGUCCACAUAAGAACCCAAACCAAAUCUACAAAUAAACCCAAACCAAAACCAAACCAAGUCCACAAAUAAACCCACAAAUAAACACAAACCCAAAACCCAAAUAAACCUAAACCCAAAACCCAAAUAAACCCAAACUUGAACCCAAAUAAAUCCAAACCCAAACCAAUUCCACACAUAAAACCAAAACCCAAACCUAAAUCAAAUCCAAACCGAACCUAAACCAAGUCCACAAAUAAAACCGAAACCAGAACCCAAAAUCAAACCCAUCCCACAAAUAAAAUCAAAACCUAAACCCAAAUCAAAUCCAAACCCAACCCAAACCAAGUCUACAAUCCAAAUUCAAACCCAAACCCAAAUCCAACUCCAAUUCGGACCACGAAUACAACCCAACUCCAACUUCCAACUUGGGCUCAUGAACCAAAACCAAAUCUCACGGACCAAAUCCCAUGAACCAAAAUCAAAUCUCAUGGACCAAAUCCCAUGAACCAUAGCCAAACCUCAUGGACCAAAUCCCAUAAACCAAAACCAAACCUCAUGGAGCAAAUCCCAUGAGCCAAAACCAAAUCUCAUGGAGCAAAUCCCAUGAGCCAAAAUCAAGUUCAUGGACCAAAUCCCAUGAACCAAAAUCAAGUUCAUGGACCAAAUCCCAUGAGCCAAAACCAAAUCUCAUUGACCAAAUCCCAUGAAUCAAAACGAAACCUCAUGGACCAAAUCCCAUGAGCCAAACCAAACCUCACCCAAACCUCAAGGACCAAAUUCCAUGAACCAAAACCAAACCUCAGGGACCAAAUCCCAUGAACCAAAACCAAACCUCAUGGAGCAAAUCCCAUGAGCCAAAACCAAAUCUCAUGAACCAAAUCCUAUGAACCAAAAUCAAAUUUCAUGGACCAAAUUCCAUGAACCAAAACCAAACCUCAUGGACCAAAUCCCAUGAACCAAAACCAAAUCUCAUGGACCAAAUCCCAUGAACCAAAAUCAAAUCUCAUGGACCAAAUCCUAUAAACCAAAACCAAAUCUCAUGGACCAAAUCCUAUAAACCAAAACCAAAUCUCAUGGACCAAAUCCCAUG
rnacentral:lncRNA from 1 species